rnacentral:lncRNA from 1 species
UUUGUGUGUUUGUUGAACUUGAGAUUGUGGUGUAUUUGAACUUGAGUUUGUGGUGUUUUUGAACUUGAGUUUGUUUCGUGUUUGAACUUGAGUUUGUGGCAAUUGUUGAAUUUGAGUUUGUGUCGUGUUUGAACUUGAGUUUGUGGUGUUUUUUAACUUGAGUUUGUUUUUUCUUUAACUUGAGGUUGUGGAAAUUGUUAAACUUGAGAAUUGGGUAUUGGUUGAACUUGAGUUUUUUGUGUUUUGAACUUGAGUUUGUGUCGUGUUUGAACUUGAGUUUGUGGUGUUUUUGAACUUGAGUCUGUGUUGUGUUUGAACAUGAGUUUUUGGUGUUUUUGAACUUGAGUUUGUGUGUUUGAACUUGAGGGUGUGUUGUGUUUGAACUUGAGCUUGUGGUGUUUUUGAACUUGAGUUUGUGUCGUGUUUGAACUUGAGGGUGUGGAAUUUGUUUAACUUGGGAAUUUGGUAUUGGUUGUACUUGAGUUUGUGGGGUUUUUCUGAACUUGAGUUUGUGGAAAUUGUUUAACUUGAGAAUCAGGAGUCUGAUGAACUUGAGUUAGUGUUUGUUGAACUUGAGUUUGUGUUGUGUUGGAACUUAAGUUCAACAAACACACAAACUCAAGUUCAAAAACACAAGAGUUUGUGUUGUGUUUGAACUUGAGUUUGUGUUUUUUUUAACUUGAGUUUGUUUCAUGUUUGAACUUGAGUUUGUGGUGUUUUUGAACUUGAAUUUUUGGUGUUUUUGAACUUGAGCUUGUAGAAAUUGUUCAACUUGAGAAUUGGGUAUUGGUUGAACUUGAGUUUUUUGUGUUUUUGAACUUGAGUUUGUGUCGUGUUUGAACUUGAGUUUGUGGUGUUUUUGAACUUGAGUUUGUGGUGUUUUUGAACUUGAGGUUGUGGAAAUUGUUAAACUUAAGAAUUGGGUAUUGGUUGAACUGAGUUUUUGGUGUUUUUGAUAUUGAGUUUGUGUCGUGUUUGAACUUGAGUUUAUGGUUUUUUUUAACUUGAAUUUGCGUGUUUGGUGAACUUGAGUUUUCGUGUUUUUUGAACUUGAGUUUCUGUUUUUUUGAACUUGAGGUUGUGGAAAUUUUUAAACCUUAGAAUCGGGUGUUGGUUGAACUUGAGUUUGUGUGUUUUUUGAACUUGAGUUUGUGGUGUGUUUGAACUUGAGUUUGUGUUGUUUUUGAACUUUAGUUUUUGGUGGUUUUGAACUUGAGGGUGUUGAACUUGAGAAUUGGGUUUUGGUUGAACUUGAGUUUGUGGUUUUUUGAACUUAAGUUUCUUUCGUGUUUGAACUUGAGUUUGUGGCGUUUGUUGAACUUGAGUUUCUGUUGUUUUUGAACUUGAGUUUGUGUCGUGUUUGAAUUUGAGUUUGUGUGUUUGUUGAACUUGAGUUUGUGUCGUGUUUGAACAUGAGUUUGUGUCGUGUAUGAACUUGAGUUUGUGUCGUGUUUUUGAACUUGAGUUUUUGGUGUUUUUGAACUUGAGGGUGUGGAAUUUGUUAAACUUGAGAAUUGGGUAUUGGUUAAAUUUGAGUUUGUUUGUUUGUUGAACUUGAGUUCGUGUCGUGUUUGAACUUGAGUUUGUGGUGUUUUUGAACUUGAGUUUGUGUGUAAUUUGAACUUGUUUGUGUUGUGUUUGAACUUGAGUUUGUGGUGUUUUUGAACUUGAGUUUGUGUCGGUGGGAACUUGAGUUUGUGGUGUUUUUGAACUUGAGUUUGUGGUGUUUUUGAACUUGAGGGUGUGGAAUUUGUUAAACUUGAGAAUUUGGUAUUGUUUGAACUUGAGUUUUUUGUGUUUUUGAACUUGAGUUUGUGGCAAUUGAUGAACUUGCGUCUGUGGUUUUUAGUGAACUAUAAUUGGUGGCAAUUGUUGAACUUGAGUUUGUGGCGUUUUUUGAACUAGAGUUUCUGUUUUUUUUAACUUGAGGUUGUGGAAAUGAAGCAUAGCGUUAGUUCUGUCAGGACACGACGUCAAGCGCUGAUCUGCAGCCAAUGGCUAGUAGCCACCUCAACCAGAUGAUAACCAGCUGAUUCACUCCUAGCUCCUAUUGGUCCUUUGCCUAUAGAGCGCCUUAUUUAAAAGUGCACUAACCCAGCCUCUUCCUCUGCUCUGACAGCUAACCAGCAAGCUGCUGCAACCGCUCUGCACGCUCCCACUUUUAAGAACACUCAGAUCUACGUUUUUGCUUCCUACCUUGCGCUUCAUCAUGUCGAUCGCUACCCACGACAAAGAUCCCUGGCAUGGAUGAAGGGUUUCUGAAAUGCAACAUCAGCACUGCGAAAUCGAGGAAGACAGUCCUUACAACGACAGCUGCAUUCCCUUCAGUAGGAGCUCUCCUCUGGAAAAUAAAACUUCUACUUCUCCCAGCUUCAAUGAACGGCCGGAGUCCGGGCUCCUGGAAGUCCUUUAAAAAAAAAAAAAUAACAUCACAGCUCCAGAUGGCGCCUCACAUCAAGAGUUUUCACCUUGUUUACGGAAAAUAUCCACAUAGGUCCUCCACUCGCAGUUCUCUCUUCCUCCUCUGUAUCCAGAAAAGCGACCGAGGAAAGAAAACGCUGUUCCCGCAGCGUCACGGCAGUCCAGCUUCAGCCGCCGCGUCAUCGCCGCCGCCCGCAGAGCGCGAAUCCCAACCCCAGCUAUAAGACCCGCGGACCUGGACGACAAUCCCAUCCUGAGAGUACUACCCAGCAUCCAGCCAUCGUUCUCCCACAUGUCUUCAAGGAUCGAAGCCUCAGAAUCUGGUUCGGCACGUGCUAAGCUGUCUCCCUUCAUCCCAGCUGUUACCUGCAUUCACCGCGCUGAACGAUGACGUCACUCCAGCGACAACCGACGACGGUGUCCCCCAUCCUGCGAAGGACCCUGGGAAGUGCAGUCCCAGUCUCCACCGGCGUCCAAUAAUUCCCUUCGCGGCUGCAAUUACGCCUUAUCCGCGGAGCCAAAUCCUUGCAGGUACUGACAUUAGUCUUGCUGUGCUCAGACUACAAUGAUAGACGCAUUGUUGAUUGCGGAGAUGAGUCUGUGAUGCUUAAAUAUCGUGAUGCCCGGCUGUUUAAAUCUCCGACCUUGGCUGAAUUCAUAGCUUUAAAUUUCGUAUUUGGAGAUGUCAUAUGUGAAGAGUUUUCAGCACGCAGAACUGAACUGGACACAUAUCUCGCCAUUAUUUCUGAUUCAGCCAUGACACAGGGAGGAUCAUUAUCCUAGGAACAUUAAAAAUCAUUGUCAGCAAAGCUGCUAAGUACAUUAAAAGAUUCAACCAAAGACUUGAUCAGUCCGUAGUUGACCUGGCUCUAAUCAGUAGACAUUUCACCGCGCAUCAAGCUUUCCUGCUCAAUCUGCGGGCCUUUCUCUCACCUGGAGGUGAAAGUAAACCAUUAUGCGGCAGUAUGCCAUUUCGGGAAGACAUAAUCAGCAGUUUAAAGUUUUCACCCCUUCCAUGUAUCUAGGCUAAGUGUGUUGCCACACAUCAGUCUGCACUCUGCGUUAUAACCGAAGUAAUCCAAUAGGACCUUGCCGCUUGAGAGUGAGUGGUAUUUGCUUACAAAUAAACUCCAGUAGUGGGAGCACCAGUGCGCACUUUUGAUUGGACGCUGGUUGCCUAGGUGCAGGGGCCCGCCUUCCGCCUUUUGCGGAAGGAGGGAACUUAAAGAGUCAGCUGCUUCAAUCUUAAUGUAGAAAUAAGACAAAAUGCAGAUAAAUAAAUAAAUAAAUAAAUUAUUAUUAUUAUUAUUAACAAUAAUAAUAAUAAUAAUAAUUAGUAAUAAUAAUUAAUAAUAAUAAUUAAUUAAUAAUAAUAAUUGCUUUAUGUUCAAGAGAGAGAUACAGCAGAUGAUGAUACUGUGGCAUCGGAGUCAGCAACUCGCUUAACUUGGGUGUGCUCCUCUUGUACAAAGUCUACGGGUACAGUACCUGGAGGAACCUUAUCCUACCUUGUCCACCCCUGCCCACACCUCUAAUCGGUGACCUAAAACUGCGGCUACAGGCCAACCACCCAAGCCUCUCUAAGCCUACGACUCGGAGAAGCCAAGUUACUUCAGGGACGGGCAUCUGAAAUCAGCAUGCCCGAGACGCACCCACCUGGUAAAACGGGAAAGAACAAGCUGUCUACUCUGUCAAAUGUCCUUGAAAUGGGGAAGGCAAUGGCAAGCAUCCCAACCGCUGUUAGUGAAGUCAUUCAUUCAGACUGCGUAAGUCUGAGUGCAGCCUUGCAAACCUUAGUGCUCUCAGUUGCCAGCUAUUUGAGAGCUGGUCAAGCAAAAUCAGCAUUUAAGUUUAUACGGUUCUGCAUAGUCUCACUUUACCUCUUUUGUACCACCUUCUCUGUAGCCCCAACACCCUAAAUAUAUCCAUUGUAUGUGCUUUAAUAGUCCACUUUUUUUAAAAUUUAUAUUUCCAAACUAACUCUGUCUUUGUUCUUUAUCCUCCAUGUCCCGCUGCCCGAGAGGCCGGCCACUGGCCAGCCAGCAAGAGUCUCUCUUUGCCACUGAAGAAGGGAAACCUAUAUCCAGAUUGCAGCUUUCUGCUCACCUCUGCCUGCUCUGCCAAUCCUGCUGGGUCCUACCUGAGUACAACUCUACGCAUUCACCACGUAUAGGCGCAGCUACAACUGCAUCUUCCAGUGUCCCCAUCUCGACGCUCAAGGCUACGGGUCGAUGGUCCUGAUCAGCAUUUGAAUGGCCCAUGGCCAAUAUAUUAUUAUUAUUAUUAGAAUUUUUCUGUCCCAUAACUUGGCACAUAGAUGCUAAUUAAAUGAAAUAUAUAAAUAAAUACCCAUGCUUGGGCAACGGGUCUCUCUAACCCGUCUCUCUUUCGGCAACUCUCACUUCCCCUGCUAGCUCCUAGACUGCACGGCAUGGUUGUUUUGGGGGGGUUCUGUUCAUUGCCGCUCUACCCCCGCCGCCUCCUCCUUCAUGAUGGCUCGUGGAGGGCGGGAAGGUGCACUUCCUGCCGUUGGCCUUUCACCCAUGCCAACGUGGAGAACGGGGGGAUGAACGGAACCUCGCGUGCGCUCCCUGCUAUCGCCUUUCAUGAUGGCUCGUGAAGGGCAGGAAGGGGCGCUUCCUGCCUCGGGCUUCCACACAAGCGCGUGGAAGGGCAGGGACCCGGAACAGAAUCAUGCCGCCAAAUCUAACUUGAUGCCAAUCCUGCGGACUUCCUCCAGAUCGCUACACAGCUCAUUCUUUUCGCAUAGGCACAGCUACUACCGCUGCUGUGACGGCUCCAGUGUCCACCCUCAAAGCCAUGGGCCGAUGGUCGUCUGCCGCGUACGAACGCUAUCUGCGCCCCGAGGUUCGGGACAUUCUAGAAGCACAGAAAACCAUGAGUAACCAUAAUUUGGCACAUAGACGUGAUAAAAUGAACUAUAUAAAUAAAUAUCCAUGCUUGGGCAACUAGUCUCUAACCCGUCUCUUUUCGACAGCUCUCACCUCCCAUCGCUAACUCCUAGACUGCACGGCAUGGUUGUUUUGGGGGGGUUCUGUUCAUUGCUGCUCUGCCCCCGCCGCCUCCGCCUUCAUGAUGGCUCGUGGAGGGCAGGAAGGGGCACUUCCUGCCGCUGGCCUUUCACCCAUGCCAACGUGGAGAACGGGGGCCCUGAACAGAACCUCGCGUGCGCUCCCUGCUAUCGCCUUUCAUGAUGGCUCGUGAUGGGCAGGAAGGGGCUCUUCCUGCCUCGGGCUUCCACACAAGCGUGUGGAAGGGCAGGGACCCGAAACAGAAUCAUGCUGCCAAAUUUAAACUUGCACAAUAAAGCCAAAAUUUUUGACAAAGUGUUCCUGACUGAAAUGAAGCAUAGCCUUAGUUCUGUCAGGACACGACGUCAAGCGCUGAUCUGCAGCCAAUGGCUAGUAGCCACUUCAACCAGAUGAUAACCAGCUGAUUCACUCCUAGCUCCUAUUGGUCCUUUGCCUAUAGAGCGCCUUAUUUAAAAGUGCACUAACCCAGCCUCUUCCUCUGCUCUGACAGCUAACCAGCAACCCACCGCCAUCCCAGCUCCACCCUUGUGCCAGCUAAUGCUCUGCUACCCUCGAAGCGCUCCUGUUCCGGGGGGGUUCUGUUCAUUGCUGCUCUGCCCCCGCCGCCUCCGCCUUCAUGAUGGCUCGUGGAGGGCAGGAAGGGGCACUUCCUGCCGCUGGCCUUUCACCCAUGCCAACGUGGAGAACGGGGGCCCUGAACAGAACCUCGCGUGCGCUCCCUGCUAUCGCCUUUCAUGAUGGCUCGUGAUGGGCAGGAAGGGGCUCUUCCUGCCUCGGGCUUCCACACAAGCGUGUGGAAGGGCAGGGACCCGAAACAGAAUCAUGCCGCCAAAUUUAAACUUGCACAAUAAAGCCAAAAUUUUUGACAAAGUGUUCCUGACUGAAAUGGUUAAACCUUAGAAUCGGGUAUUGGUUGAACUUGAGUUUGUGUGUUUUUUGAACUUGAGUUUGUGGUGUGUUUGAACUUGAGUUUCUGGUGUUUUUGAACUUGAGUGUGUGUGUUUGUUGAACUUGAGUUUGUGGUGUGUUUGAACUUGAGUUUCUGGUGUUUUUGAACUUGAGUGUGUGUGUUUGUUGAACUUGAGUUUGUGUUGUGUUUGAACUUGAGUUUUUGGUGGUUUUGAACUUGAGGUUGUGGAAAUUGUUAAACUUGAGAAUUGGGUAUUGGUUGAACUUGAUUUUUUGUGUUUUGAACUUGAGUUUCUGUUGUGUUUGAACUUGAGUUUGUGGUGUUUUUGAACUUGAGUUUCUGUUGUUUUUGAACUUGAGGUAGUGGAAAUUGUUAAACCUUAGAAUCAGGUGUUGGUUGAAUGUGAGUUUGUGUGUUUGUUGAACUUGAGUUUGUGUGUUUGAACUUGAGUUUGUGGUGUUUUUGAACUUGAGUUUGUGGUGUUUUUGAACUUGAGUUUAUGUUGUGUUUGAACUUGAGGGUGUGGUUUUUUUUAACUUGAGUUUGUUUCAUGUUUGAACUUGCAUUUGUGGCGUUUGUUGAACUUGAGUUUGUGUCGUGUUUGAACUUGAGUUUGUGGUGUUUUUGAACUUGAGCUUUUGGUGUUUUUGAACUUGAGCUCUUGGAAAUUUUUAAACUUGAGAAUUGGGUAUUGGUUGAACUUGAAUUUUUUUUGUGUUGGAACUUGAGUUUGUGUCGUGUUUGAAUUUGAAUUUGUGGUGUUUUUGAACUUGAAUUUGUGGUGUUUUUGAACUUGAGGUUGUGGAAAUUGUUAAACUUGAGAAUUGGGUAUUGGCUAGACUGAGUUUUUUUGUGUUUUUGAACUUGAGUUUGUGUCGUGUUUGAACUUGAGUUUAUGGUUUUUUGAACUUGAAUUUGCGUGUUUGGUGAACUUAAGUUUUCAUGUUUUUUGAACUUUAAUUUCUGUUUUUUUAACUUCAGGUUGUGGAAAUUGUUAAACCUUAGAAUCGGGUAUUGGUUGAACUUGAGUUUUUUAACCUGAGUUUGUGGUGUUUUUGAACUUGAAGUUGUGUUUUUUUUUAACUUGAGGGUUUGGAAUUUUUUAAACUUGAGAAUUGGCUUUUGGUUGAACUUGAGUUUGUGGUGUUUCUGAACUUGAGGUUGUUUUGUGUUUGAACUUGAGUUUGUGGCGUUUGUUGAACUUGAGUUUCUGUUGUUUUUGAACUUGAGUUUGUGUUAUGUUUGAACUUGAGUUUGUGUCGUGUAUGAACUUGAGUUUGUGUCGUGUUUUUGAACUUGAGUUUGUGUCGUGUUUUUGAACUUGAGUUUUUGGCGUUUUUGAACUUGAGGGUGUCGAAUUUGUUAAUCUUGAGAAUUGGGUAUUGGUUAAAUUUGAGUUUGUUUGUUUGUUGAACUUGAGUUCGUGUCGUGUUUGAACUUGAGUUUGUGGUGUUUUUGAACUUGAGUUUGUGUGUAUUUUGAACUUGAGUUUGUGUUGUGUUUGAACUUGAGUUUGUGGUGUUUUUGAACUUGAGUUUGUGUCGGUGGGAACUUGAGUUUGUGGUGUUUUUGAACUUGAGUUUGUGGUGUUUUUGAACUUGAGGGUGUGGAAUUUGUUAAACUUGAGAAUUUGGUAUUGUUUGAACUUGAGUUUUUUGUGUUUUUGAACUUGAGUUUGUGGCAAUUGAUGAACUUGCGUCUGUGGUUUUUAGUAAACUUUAAUUGGUGGCAAUUGUUGAGCUUGAGUUUUUGGCGUUUAUUGAACUUGAGUUUGUGGUGUGUUUGAACUUGAGUUUCUGGUGUUUUUUUGAACUUGAAGUUGUGUUUUUUUUUAACUUGAGGGUGUGGAAUUUUUUAAACUUGAGAAUUGGGUUUUGGUUGAACCUGAGUUUGUGUGUUUUUUUAACUUGAAUUUCUGUUGUUUUUGAACUUGAGGUAUUGGACAUUGUUAAACCUUCGAAUCAGGUGUUGGUUGAACUUGAGUUUGUGUGUUUGUUGAACUUGAGUUUGUGUCGUUUUUGAACUUUAGUGUGUGGUGUUUUUGAACUUGAGUUUGUUUCGUGUUUGAACUUGAAUUUGUGGUUUUUUUGAACUUGAAUUUGUGUGUUUAGUGAACUUGAGUUUGUGUGUUUUUUUAACUUGAGUUUCUGUUGUUUUUGAACUUGAGGUAUUGGAAAUUGUUAAACUUGAGAAUCAGGUGUUGGUUGAACUUGAGUUUGUGUGUUUGAACUUGAGUUUGUGGUGAUUUUGAACUUGAGUUUGUGUUGUGUUUGAACUUGAGUUUGUGGUGUUUUUGAACUUGAGUUUGUGGUGUUUUUGAACUUGAGGGUGUGGAAUAUGUUAAACUUGAGAAAUUGGUAUUGGUUGAACUUGAGUUUUUGGUGUUUUUGAAAUUGAAUUUUUGGAAAUUGUUAAACUUGAGAAUCAGGUGUUGGAUGAACUUGAGUUAGUGUUUAUUGAACUUGAGUUUGUGUCGUGUUGGAACUUGAGCACAUGUUGCUUGUUGAAUUGAGUUUGUGUGUUUGUUGAACUUGAGGUUGGGAAAUUUUUUAAACUUGAGAAUCAGGUGUUGGUUGAACUUGAGUUUGUGGUUUUUGUUGAACAUGAGUUUGUGUCGUUUUUGAACUUGAGUUUGUGGUGUUUUUGAACUUGAGCAUGUGUUGUUUUUGAACUUGAGGUUGUGGAAAUUGUUAAACUUGAGAAUUGGGUAUUGGUUGAACUUUAUUUUUUGUGUUUUUAAC